rnacentral:rRNA from 1 species
CGCGUAGGCGGAAUAGUAAGUCAGAAGUGAAAACCAUGGGCUUAACUCAUGGCCUGCUUUUGAAACUGCUGUUCUUGAGUACGGUAGAGGGAAGUGGAAUUCCUGGUGUAGCGGUGAAAUGCGUAGAUAUCAGGAAGAACACCGGUAGCGAAGGCGGCUUCCUGGACCGUAACUGACGCUGAGGCGCGAAAGCGUGGGGAGCAAACA